rnacentral:hammerhead_ribozyme from 1 species
GUCCAGAUGACGAGUUUCAAAUAGGAGGAAACGCGCGUUCUGGAU